AGAGUUUGAUCAUGGCUCAGGAUGAACGCUAGCGGCAGGCUUAAUACAUGCAAGUCGAACGGCAGCGCGGGGCAACCUGGCGGCGAGUGGCGAACGGGUGAGUAAUAUAUCGGAACAUACCCUAGAGUGGGGGAUAACGUAGCGAAAGUUACGCUAAUACCGCAUACGCACUAAGGUGGAAAGUGGGGGAUUCGCAAGAACCUCAUGCUCAUGGAGUGGCCGAUAUCUGAUUAGCUAGUUGGUGAGGUAAAGGCUCACCAAGGCAACGAUCAGUAGCUGGUUUGAGAGAACGACCAGCCACACUGGAACUGAGACACGGUCCAGACUCCUACGGGAGGCAGCAGUGGGAAUUUUGGACAAUGGGGGCAACCCUGAUCCAGCAAUGCCGCGUGAGUGAAGAAGGCCUUCGGGUUGUAAAGCUCUUUUGUCAGGGAAGAAACGGUGAGGGCUAAUAUCUCUUGCUAAUGACGGUACCUGAAGAAUAAGCACCGGCUAACUACGUG
rnacentral:rRNA from 1 species